UGCUAGUCGGUCUUCCCUAGAUUCUCACCUCUGGCUGGAGUUUCUUCUCCCAUUUUUUCUUUAUUUCAUUUCCCUCCGUCAUUUGCUUCCGCCCUGUGAUCUGUGUUUCCGAUUCCGGCUACUGUUUCUCUCUCUCUAUACUUGCUCUCGUUCUGAUCUUGGUCAUAUUCCAUCUUCGCCACGCGGAUUAACGUAACAUUGAGGGCUGGCUUCUAAGAAAACUGAAGGGAGGAUAUUGUGAGCAAAAGUCUUCUGAAGUCUGUUUUCUGGGAGACCAGCUGCUGCAAGCUAAGGCUCUAACUGAAAAGUGACGGUGUUUCUAUCUGGAGGGCAAUUAGUUCAGAAUUGGAGCGCUUGGAAAUGUGAUUGGAUUGUCAAAUUUACUAGAAUUGUAUUUGAACUCCUAAACUAGUAUUCACAUAGAUGAGGGCUUCACCCAAAGUUACUAGUAUUGCCGAGGGCGAGGAUGCUCAAGUGACAAGGCCUUGAGAUGUUGGGAACUUUGGAGAUACUUCCAUGGGUCUGGGAAUUCAAGCCUUAGGUUAAAAAUUUAAGUUUUAUUUCUAGUAAGUCUUUGACUUUGUUUCUAAUAAAUCCAUAAAUUUAAAGAAGUGUCUAUUAAAUCUUUACACUUUCUAUUUUGUAUCUUAUAGACUUUCUAAUAAAUCCAACAAUUGUGGGAA